rnacentral:lncRNA from 1 species
AUGACCUUCCUCUGAGGGUUUCGCGGCAUGAACUGCACGCUCAAGCUGACCAAGGCUUUGACCCGGUCGGGCCGGAGCAGGCAGAGGUACCAAGCGAUGGUGGCGCCCCAGUCGUGGGCCACCACGAACACCUGCUCCUGAUCAGGUGCGAUGGCGUCCAGGAGCGCCACGAGGUCUCCGACCAUGUAGAGGCAGUUGUAGCUGGAAGGGGAGGCGGGGGCGUCGGUAUCGCCGUACCCUCGGAGGUCGGGGCGACAGCGCGGUAGCCGAGGGCGGAGAGGGCGAGGAUUUGGUGGCGCCAGGAGUACCAGAGCUCAGGAAAGCCGUGGACGAAGAGGAUGAGUGGGCCAUUCCCUUUCUCGGCGACGUGCAUGUUGAUGCCGUUCACUUGGACUGUUCGGUGCUCUAUUCCCUGCGACUCCAUGAUCGGCGAUCGCUCUCUCUCUCUCAAACUCACUCUGUUUUUUUUUUUAAUUUUAUUUGGUAAUGGUUAUCAGCGAGUGAAUGGUGUUUGGGUAUUUGUGUCAUUUUAUAGAUGGAAUCCGGCAAUAACGAAUUUUGCGUCGUUUGGAGAUAAACGACCUGAUACGUGUAAUAAUGCAAUUGACUAAAAAAAAAAUAUUUAAUUUCCAAACAAUUGUUCCGCAGUGCGGUGCCGACCUGCUGUCCGCUAAAUCUUUUACUUUAUUUUUUGAUGUGUCAUACUACUUAAUGUUAAUUUAACUUUACCAAAUUUUUUUACAUAAUAUUAUGAACCAUAUUAUUGAUAACCCAUCGAGAGGCUUAACCCACUCUUCCACCCCUUAGUGUCGUUUGUUAAAAAAAAAAAAACCCAGAUGAAAAAUUAAAGAGAGAAUUAGAAUUUCCUGCAUAUUUUUAAUAUGUUUUAGAUUACAUUGAUUUCAUUUUAAAAUUUGAUUAAGGUGUUUUAAACAAUAACCAAGUUAACAUAUUUCUAUUCAUGUAAAUUACACUAGCAUUUGCCUACACAGUUUGUGUGUAUGAAAUGAGAGAUGGAGAGAGAGAGAGAAUGUGGGGGGGGGAGGGGGGGAGAGAGAUUUUUGUUUUCGGUUUUUAUUUUAUUUUUUAUUUUUUAUAAUAUUAUAGGUAUUUUAACAUCGCAUGUAGGUGAAGUUUCAAUAAAAAAUAGUAAAACUUGGACUUGUGAAAUUACAUUAUUACCCAUCUUUUUUUUGUGUGAUAGAAGACUAAUUUGUUAUUUUACGGGACACUUUGGAUGCGGUCCCUAACUAUCAAUAUUCUUUGAUUGAAACCUUGUUAGUUUGUAGUUUUUGAUUGAGGUCCCUGACAUUAAUGUAAUAAUGUAAGUUACUAUAUAUUUUAAAUUAAAAACUAAAAAUUGAAAUUUGUAAUUGUUUAUAUUAAUGAGAUUUUAAAUAAAACCCAUAAUUUAUGGGAUUAAAAAUAAUAAAAUAUAAAUUAUACUCUCUAUUAUAUUGUGUGUGUGUGUGUGUGUGUGUGUACAUAUAUGUAUGGGUACAUUAACCAAAAUUAACAAAAAAAGUUAUUGUACCAAAACAUGGAUACAUUCUCAAAUCAACGAAAAAGAAUGUACCCAUAUAAGUUUAAACAUGGAUUAAAACAUUUGAAUGGAUUUUAUAUUAAAAAAAGGUACAUUUUACAUAUAACAAAUUGAUAUAUUUGAGAAUGGGUACAUUUAAAAUCAAAAAAAUUAAAAAAUUAUAUGAAUUGAUACAUUUAAGAUUAAAAAAUUGAGAAUCUUUAUAUAUAUAUAUAUAUAUAACUAAUAGGUACAAACUUAAUUUAAUUUAAUUUAUUAUUAUUUUGGAAAUGUUUGAAUUGAAAAUUAAUUAGAAGUUUAAUAGAGGUGUGAGUAUUAAACCCUAAAUUAAUUACUAAUUUUUAUAUUAAAAAUUAUAUAAUAAACAUGUAAAUUCAUUAUCACAUUAAUGCUAGGGACUUGAAUCAAAAUUUGAGAACUAAUAAGGUCUUAGUCAAUGAACAGUAAGAACUAGGGAUCGGAUACUAAUUUUUCCGUUAUUUUACCCUCUUUUGGUUGACAAAGAGGGUUUUAUUAAUUAGUAGAGAUUUCAUUAUUGAUACUUUGUAAAUUAAAAAUUAAUUAUUGAAUUCUGAGUAUGUAGAUAUUUUUUUUUACGUGUGGUUUUUUGUAGGGAAACAGUUUUCUGGUUUGCUAAUCAUUUGGUGAUGUCUAUCGUUUUUUGUUUGUUUGAUUUGUUAGAGUUGUAUUUCUUUGGAAGAACUCCCCUUUAUUUAACAGAUUUGGGUUCAUUAUGUAAGCUCCUCCAGAGCAUGUUUUUACCUAGAGCGAUUGCCUCAACAUAUUUUUACAAUCACCAAAUUUAUCAAAAAUGUCAUUAUGCUCUAGAGUCGAAGGCUACAGAACAAGACUCCAGUAUUUUCUUCUCCAUUACAUACCUAAUGAUUUGUACAAGUUUGCACGUACACUCGUUUUUAACCCGUUUACCUUUUUUACUCAUUUCCUUUUUUUUACUAGUCUACAAGUUUGCACGUUUUUUUAUUUUUACCCAUUUAUAAGUACAUACAUUUCCGUAUUUCAAUUUUUUUAAGCUCUCAUACCUUUUUAAUAAUUGAAAUUAUAUUUUAUGAACGAUACUUUCAACUGUUAUUAUGUCACAUUCCCGUCCGGGGUCCACCACAUCCCAGACUCGUUUCACUAUCGUAACACAAUAUUGUCUGCUUUAGGCCCCGACUACAUCCUUACGGUUUUGUUUCUGGGAACUCACACAAAAACUUCCCAGUGGGUCACCCAUCAUGGGAUUGCUAUCGCGCGCUACUCGCUUAACUUCAGAGUUCCGAUGGAACUCGAAGCCAGUGAGCUCCCAAAAGACCUCAUGCUAUGUAAGGAUGGAAAUAUACAUAUAAGGAUCACUCCCCUGGGCGAUGUGGGAUUUUACAAUCCACCCCCCUUAAGGAGCCCGACGACCUCGUCGAUACACCACGGCCAGGGUUAGGCUCUGAUACCAAUCUGUCACAUCCCGGCCCGGGGUCCACUACAUCCCGGGCCUGCUCCACUACCGUAGCAUGAUAUUGUUCGCUUUGGGCCCCGACUACGCCCCCACGGUUUUGUUUCUGGGAACUCAUACAAGAACUUCGUAGUGGGUCACCUAUCAUGGGAUUGCUCUCCCGUGUUACUCGCUUAACUUCGGAGUUUCGAUGGAACCCGAAGCGAGUGAGCUCUCAAAAGGCCUCAUGCUAGGUAGGGAUGGGAAUAUACAUAUAAGGAUAACUCCUCUGGGCGAUGUGGGAUCUUACAAUUAUGUAAUUUGACGAUUAUGCCCUUAUUGGCAAGUGACGUGGACGUAUUCUUAUCACAUUCAUUUUAUUUCUCGCUGUUGCAUUUAAAUUGUACAUGUUAGUACGAGUCAGCGUAGAUUUUAAAGUGUAAAAUAUCUACUUCGGAUAGAUUUCGAUUUCCUUUUACUGUAGGAAAUCUAAAAACCUAUCCAUUGGAUCCCCUUUUUAUCCUAUCCCGUGCAUCCCCUCCUUCAUUAUUCACUCUCACCUAUCCCAUCUUUUCCUCAUUUUUGUCCCCCAAUCAGAAAAGCAACAUCCCAUCACUCAUUCUCACUCUCUCUCUUCUCUCUCCUUCGCCGAGCCCCUUCUUCUUCUCUACAACCAUCACAAAACCACACCAAAACACUCAAACAUCGAAAACAAACUACACAAUUGUGAUCAUCUCAGUCCCACGAUCACAACCAUGUCCUUGAAAUCUGGUGUAGACGAAUUUUGACUCACCAAUUCAGAAGGUCGACUCGGCGAGUUAGACAUAUCGAUUUUCAGGCCAUUCAUGGCUUAGGUAAGCCUUGAGAAACCCUUAGAACCUUCAUUUCACUUCUAUGGGUUGUUAUUGAUCUCUUGUUUAUGUCUUGAACAUAUGGUUUUACCCAGAAAACUUAAGAAGAAGAAGAACUUGAACGUUUUUUAGUCAAGGACCGUGACCAUUUGGUCACUUUCAACCCAUUUUUCCAGUCAACCUUAACCACAUCUGGACUCCUGCUAGGUACAAACUUGUUCUCUACAUUCCUAACUUCAAAAUGGAUUUUGAAUCACUGAGUUUGGUUAAGUAACGAGUUAGAAAUCAACUCUAGAAGUUGGGAAGAAAAUUUCAGUUUCUAGAAAAUUUGCAAUCGUGGUCAUUUGGCCACUUUCAGGCCAAAUUUCUAAACAACUCGAACCAUAUUUGAACUUUUUGUGAAAUGGGAUAAUACAUCACAUUCCUAGCUUUAAUUUGGCUUUUGUAGAAGUGAAUUUGGUUGAGAAUCGAGCUUGUUAUGAGCUCUGAAAGUUGGCCCAAAAAUUUGCAAAACUACAAAUUUUCGCGAGGAAGGUGAGUACAUUGUACUCACGGGUGCGUAGGGCGCGCAUGACGAAUCUGUGCAGCCACUUUAGGUGGCGCGUGACAGCGUGUCCGGCCUCCGGCCUACGUGUGGUCGACACGUGUGUGUUCGUGUUGUCGAGUAAUGUGUGUGCGUUUGUAUCGUUUGUAUACUUGAGUAGUAUGUUUAAGGAAACUAUACUUGUUUUACUGCGAAGGAUUAGUAUUUUCAAAGUUAAAGGUUUUCUUAUAAGCAUUGUUUUGCUAACCUACUCAACUUUGUUUUUGGCCCCACCAGGACCUAGAUAGUUGUACUCUUUGUGGCACUCGAGGAAUCUCGGCAGUUCUGACAUUUCCUUCUAUUUUAGACGUACGAACUUAUCAUUAUUCUGUAAUAAGUGUACUUUGGUUACUUUGACUACUCUUCUGUAGUCUCACUGUUUAUUACGCUUUGAAUAAUUAUAGUGGGUUCAUCCCACGAUUUGCGCAUUCUGUCACUAUUUAGUUCUAAUUAGUUUUAAUUUUAUUCACUUUUUGCAUCACUUACCUUUACGGUUACAUCACCUCAUGGUGAUGGCCAGCAUGCUUCGACCUUUCCAGGUCGGGGUGUGUCAGUUUGGUAUCAAAGUAUAGGUUUAGACAGUCCUGCACUUCCUAGUGUGUUCUAACUCUUGUUUUCUUAUGUCAAAACCAUGCCACCUCUUAGAGAGCCAUGUUCUCCAGCUGAGAAUAACUUUCCAGACUUUGGGCAGUUUGGUGAGGCUAUCGCCAUUGCUAUUUGGUCUUCCAUUCGUCCUACCUCGAGGAAUACUCUGGAUAUUGUAUCUCGCUUGAAGAUUAAUGAUUUCUUUGGUAAUGAGGGACCAGAGAAAUUAGAAAUAUGGUUCGAUCAUGUGGAGAAGACUUUUUGAGUUAUGCACAGGCAGGGUAAUCUUUCUCGGGAGAGAUGGGUCGAGACAGCGACCUGGUUCUUUUGGUUGGGAGUAGAAUCUUGGUAGGAUCAUGAGAGGAGAUCAUUAUCUGAUGAGGAUGCUAUAAAUUGGAAUGUUUUUAACGGUUAUUUUAGACCAGAUUUGUUCCUCCGAAGUAUUUCGAUAGUAAAAAGAAUGAGUUCACAGACUUGAGGCAGGGCAAUAUGUUAGCCACUGAAUAUCAUCGAAGGUUCACAGACUUAUCUUGUUAUUGCUUCAAGACUGCUGCUAAUUCCCGGGAGAUGCUUCGUUUGUUUAAGAGGGGAACUUGCAAGAAAUGGCGUACUAUAGCAACCUCUACUCUCUGUGCUACUUACCAGGAAUUCUUCGAGGUCUUGCUUCAAAUUGAAGAUUUGGUGAAUGCUCCUGACAAUGAGGAUGAGGAGGAUGUUGGCAGAAAUGUCCAGAGGUACAAUAACAAGGGGCGAUCGUCACUUGACCCGAGAAAAGGCUCAUAAUUUUAAAAAGAGUGGAAACAGCUCUGGAUCGUCGAGCGGGGGUUCUAACUCCGGUACACCUCAUAGAGGAGGCAGAUCCGCUGGUUGUUGUUGUUUUCAGAAUCAAAGAAACUCCAGCAGUUUAGGUGUUCAAUUUUGUCGCAGGUGUAACACCUGUCACUAUAGCGAGUGUAAGAGAUGAAACAUAAGAUGUUUCACUUGCGGACAAACAGGGCAUAUGGCCUAUAAUUGUCCUUAGAAUCAGAAGAAUCAGCCUACUAAUCUACCACAUGCAGUCCCCUUACAACAGCUUCCAGCACCUGGUAACUGUCAGCAAAUAGGCCACGGUGGAGCUUUCCACUACCAAGGGGGCGUAGCUCCGAAUCAGGGAGGACCAUACCAGUAUACGCCUAAGGUUCCCUACUAUCAAGGAGGCUAUUAGCAGACUCAGGGAGGUUAUCCACAGUUCUAGGAAGAUUAUACGCCGUAUCAAAGCGGCGGAGCAUUGAUGUAUACUGAAGGGCAGUAUCAGAACCUAGACGUGGCGUUUAGCAGUGAAGGUUCAGGCAGACAGGCAAAUCUACCCUAGCAGGGCUGAGGUAAUCAGGGUCGAGGUAAUCAAACUCAAGCAAACAAGGGUCGUGGAGGCAGACAACAAGUUCAGGAAAGAGUUAACAACAUCACCCUUUAGGAUGCUCGGGCUAAUCCGGACUUGAUCAUGGGUACGUUGAAUGUUCUAGGCCAUUUUGCUAAAGUUUUAAUUGAUUUUGGUGCUACACAUUCAGUUAUUUCCCAUAAGUUUUCUCAAAAGACUCAACCACAUCCUACUUCACUCGACUACGAGUUGGAGUUCUCUAUGCCUAGAGGUGAAAUCUGUUAUGUUAGUUGGGAAUAUCAAGGAUGUCCUAUCCUUGUCGAAGAUGUAGUCAUGCCGGCUAAUCUUGUUCCUUUGGAUAUCGUUGACUUUGACGUUAUCUUAGGCAUGGAUUGGUUACACUACAAUCGUGCCAGGCUGGACUGUUAUGAGAAAGUUGUUACUUUUCACCGACCAGGUAUACCUACUGUCACAUUUAUUGGUAAGCGUGGUGGUCUAAAACAUGGAGUUAUCACUGCCAUGAGGGCGAGACGAUUGUUGAAUAAAGGUUGUCAAGGUUACUUAGCUCAUGUCAUGCUAGCGGAGACUACUACAUCUGUGGAAGACGUCAGAGUAUUUAGGCACUUUUCCAAUGUUUUUCCCGAGGAAUUACCUGGCUUACCCCCAAAUCAUAAAGUAGAGUUCACCAUCGAUCUACUUCCAGGUUCUAAUCUUAUUUUCCUUACACCUUAUCGUAUGGCUCCUGCAGAGUUAAGGGAACUUAAAACUCAGUUGCAAGAGUUGGUUGAUAAGGGUUUCAUUCAGCCAAGCACUUCUCUGUGGGGAGCUCCAGUUCUGUUUGUAAGGAAGAAAGAUGAAACUUUGAGGUUAUGCAUCGAUUACAAGUAGUUGAAUCGGGUGACGAUUAAAAACCAUUAUCCGUUACCUCGUAUUGAUGACCUAUUUGAUCAGCUUAAAGGUGCUUGUGUGUUCUCGAUAAUUGAUUUGAGGUCUGGUUACUACCAAUUGAAGAUCAUAAGCGAUGACGUUCCAAAGACAGCUUUCAGAACUCGAUAUAGUCAUUACGAAUUUCUCGUGAUGCCAUUUGGAUUGAUUAAUGCACCAGCAGCUUUCAUGAACCUGAUGAAUCGAGUAUUCCAUCCAUACCUCGACAUGUUCGUCAUUGUUUUCAUAGAUGACAUUUUAGUGUAUUCGAAGAAUGAAACUGAUCAUGCCAGGCAUUUGCGUUUAGUUCUAAAGACGAUAAGGGCAAAUCGGUUGUAUGUUAAGUUCAGCAAAUGUCAAUUUUGGCUGGAUCAAGUGUCAUUUUCUACGAUAUAGGUUUCUACUUUAGUCAUAGCUUCGUAAACGCUGCGAUAGUGUGUAUCUUGAUAAGUUACUUCAUAGACAUUGAACGCAUCCACAAUUAUUUUAAAGCAACUGACAUGAUUUUAACUCCUCACAAACCUCUUUAUUUUUCAAGUCAUCGGACUAACUUAAUCAAACAGAAAUAGCUUAUAAAAUUAAACUUAGCCUUCAUAGUUUAAAUUACACACAUCGUCAGUGAUUAUUCAUGACAAAACGAAACUAGUUUAUGGAAGUUGCACGUUGGUAAACAAGGAAACAACAAUGUCCAUUACAACGUCACUCAAAGUCGGGGGCAAGAAGUGCAUAACUGAAACACCAGUAGGCACUAGCCAGCGUUGACACAAGGACAUACGGCUAAUGGAAUUUCCUAAUGAAGUCGUGAAUGUGUUUGCUGAUUUCAUCAGGCUUUUCUUGUUGCAGAAAAUGGGCAACUCCUUCCAAUACAACUACUUCUUCCAGAAGCGGCACAAAUUUCUUGAACCCGCCUUUGUGUAUGAAGUCCUGAGCACCUAAAGAGUUGUAAACUAGGUCCUGGUCUCCCACAACAAACUUCACCGGAACUUUCACUUGAGCCCCAGUCCAUGGUGCAGUCAGUUCCCAAUUUCUGCAUUGUUAAAGCGAAUGAAGUUAAUUAAAACAAUGAUUACCUUUAGAGUCAUCGACACUCGACAACAUAAGUUCGAAAAAAAUUACGUACAUGUCCAAAUUCCGGUAGUAGUUUAUGCCGCCAGUGAAGCCCGUCUUGUCAAAUUUGGCGACGUAGUAGUUCACUUCAUCCUCAGACAACCAACUUGGCAAGACAAUAGGAGUAUCUGUGGGAUGUCCAAAUCCUUUGCCUUUAGGCAGGAAAAGUGGACCAGGAUUCCUAUAUGUUAGAAACUCCUUGAUAACUCUUGUAGUGCCCAUCUGAGCAAACUCAGCUUCUAUCACUCCUGGCUCCUACAAAUAUGAGUAAUUUGUCCAGUCAUAACCAAAAAUUGCAAUUGAUAUAUGCGGGUAUGCGAUUUCAGAAUUACAUACUAAUGUUUUCUUGUUAAACAAACAGUAAUAUUUUUUAGUAGAACGAUAGGGUUAGCAGGUUAGACUUAGAUAGUUUGUUGUUAUGGAGAGAAGAAUCAGUGAAGAUCAAAUCUGCACCAUAAUGCACACACAUGACUGCUUUCACAAUAUGAUAAAACCCAUCUACAACAACAAUAUUUUCGAAUAAACCCAAUUUGAUUAUUAGUUCAAAUUCGCAGUCUAUCUAGCGACAUAAAUAUUCAUAGCAACUUCAACCUAAAAGAAAAAAAUCACAAUCAAUUAUAUUACAAUAAAAUGUUCAUACACCUAUUUUUAUUUUCACACUUUUUAUUUUCGACCGUCGAAUUAAAUGAAUUAAAAAAAAUAAGAGAUUAAAAAAAAUGUGUAAAUAACACUACUCUUUAAAAUAUUUGCUUUUGAAAGGUAGAAAAUGAAAUAAAAAAUAAUAUUAUCACAUCCUAUUAUAUAUAAAAUAAGUGAUUCAGAUUGAUUACACAGAGAGACAGAUGGCGUUUUCAAUCUUCCAAGUUGGCGUAGAAACAAAGUAAGCUCUUUAAAAGAAUCGCUUCCAAAGUGAAGAUGUCCACACACUUUUUAUUUGUCAUAUUUUUUUUUUAAUUCUGAUUGUCAGAUCAAAUAAUUAAAGAAAAAUUACAUGACAAAGCCCUCGCUAUGGCGGGGGUCGGAGGAAAGCUUUUCCUUUCGUUGUCUGUUUCUUAGUUUUUAAGUUAAAUUUCUCCCCAGUUCUUCCUGAUUCAACCAAAAUGUCUCUACCCAAGGCCUGUCUUCCCCAACUUCUUUCAGUUCGAUCUGCAGUCAGAUCUCAACUCAUCGGCUCUGGUGUUUUCAACACCACCUCCCUCUCUUUGUCUGCCUUCGUUGGCACUGUCGUUCGAGGUGUUCCCUCGGACUUCUUCCACUUUCUGGCUGAGAUCGGGACGGCUUUCGUGGCUGGGUUCUGCGGAGUUGCUCGAUUGGCUUUGGCGUUGGCUGGCGGAUUGGUUCUGGGUUGAUCGGGAUAAUUUUGAAGGCGGUGGAUGCUGGGGUCAAGAAUUGUCUUUUGCUUUGUCUCUAGUGUUGGGCUCUUUUGUUGAGCUUUGUUCGGUUUGUUGGGAGGUACAUUUGUGUGUAUUGUUCUUUUUGUAUGUGGGCCUCGCUUUGUAAUCUAGUGUAUGAAAUAAAAUUGUCCCCUUUCUUCGGAAAGGUUUUCCAAAAAAAAAAAAAAAAAAAAAAAAAAAAAAAAAAUUAACCCUUUAAAAAGUGUGUUAAAGAUUAAAAAAAAAAACAUGUGUGAAAUAGCUAUCCGAUAUGUUAUGGCUUGUAUUUAGAGAUUAAAUCAAUAAGCACAAGCAAACCUCAAGAUUCACAAGGGGCCUUUUAUUACAGUAAUAGAAAUAAAUUGAACAUUUGCAUGAUUGCGGGAGUUCGAAUUCCGUCGAUAACUAAUCUAACAUUUAUUCUAAUUAAAUCUGUCAGUUGACUAUAAAAUAAAAAAAACUCAAGGUUAAUUUAAAAUUUAAAAUAUCGAUUAUCCCAAAGUGUAUCUUUUUAGUUUUGGUCUAACUCUUAUAUUUCUCAUUUCAUGAUUUAGAAUUAAUUAAAACUUUUAAGUAAUUACCCUAAUUAAAUCUGUUUCCCUCUAAAUUUUAAAAACAUGCGAAUAUGUUCCUCACCAUUAAAAUCUGUCAAUUCUUAUGUCGAUUAUUUCCUUUAUUCUGGACAUAGAAAAAAGAGUGAGAAGCUUGAUGUUCGAAAUUUAUUGUUCUAAAUUAUUUUGUGAAGCACAAUAUGUACCUCACAACUAAUUUGAGUAAAGAUGAUUAAAUGUUAAUCAAAUUGACAAUUAGUGACUGAUGUGGAAUUUUGUGGGGCUCAAAAAUUCCCCAAAAAGAAAAAAAAAAAAAAAGUACCGAACCUGAAAUCUGCAGAUGUAGUAGUCAUCGCCAUAAGCAGCUUGAAGCGAUUCGAUGACCUUCCUCUGAGGGUUUCGCGGCAUGAACUGCACGCUCAAGCUGACCAAGGCUUUGACCCGGUCGGGCCGGAACAGGCAGAGGUACCAAGCGAUGAUGGCCCCCCAGUCGUGGGCCACCACGAACACCUGCUCCUGAUCAGGUGCGAUGGCGUCCAGGAGCGCCACGAGGUCUCCGACCACGUGGAGGCAGUUGUAGCUGGAAGGGGAGGCGGGGGCGUCGGUAUCGCCGUACCCUCGGAGGUCGGGGGCGACAGCGCGGUAGCCGAGGGCGGAGAGGGCGAGGAUUUGGUGGCGCCAGGAGUACCAGAGCUCAGGAAAGCCGUGGACGAAGAGGAUGAGUGGGCCAUUCCCUUUCUCGGCGACGUGCAUGUUGAUGCCGUUCACUGGGACUGUUCGGUGCUCUAUUCCCUGCGACUCCAUGAUCGGCGAUCGCUCUCUCUCUCUCUCUCUCUCUCUCUCUCU